rnacentral:misc_RNA from 1 species
GAUGAAGAACGUAGCGAAAUGCGAUAAGUAAUGUGAAUUGCAGAAUUCAGUGAAUCAUCGAAUCUUUGAACGCACAUUGCGCCCGCCAGUAUUCUGGCGGGCAUGCCUGUUCGAGCGUCAUUUCAACCAUCAAGCCCCAGGCUUGUGUUGGGGACCUGCGGCUGCCGCAGGCCCUGAAAACCAGUGGCGGGCUCGCUGUCACACCGGGCGUAGUAGAUUUUAUCUCGCUCAGGGCGUGCUGCGGGUUCCGGCCGUUAAAAAGCCUUUUUUACCCAAGGUUGACCUCGGAUCAGGUAGGAAGACCCGCUGAACUUAAGCAUAUCAAUAAGCGGAGG